CACGCUGCUGGGACAGCGGGGUGCAGGCUCCCGGCUUGGGAGAGAAUGCAGAUCUUUGGAGUUCAGGAGAUUGUCGGUGUGGCAGCGUUGGAGCCAGGAUGAGGGGAGCAGAGGGCUGGGUGGGGAAGAAACAGGGUGUCUAUGAUGCUCUUGCCCCAAGGACCCUCUUCUCCCUCGACCCCUCCUUACUGACUUCACUGUACCCCUCCCACUGGUCUCAGUCACCAACCAUCCUUAUUUGCCACAGGCCCUGCAAACCCAGGGCAGCCUCUGAAGCCUGGGGAGGGGGACAUCUGGAAAUCCCCACCCUACAGAUGCUGGCUAUGGCCUUGGAGUUGCAAGACCAUGACUUGCGCAAGGUCACAUUGACCAAGCCUAAACCAAGGGUCAGGACUGGUUCUCCAGAGCUCUUUGCACUACUCAGACUGGCCGGUCUUAGGUCACUGCCAUCCCUGAAUUCUCUCUAGAGAUUAUCCUAGAGUAGGUAAGGAUUAAAUGAGAUGGUUCCCCUAAAACACUUUGUACAGUGUCUGACAGAGAAAACGCUUACCAGUUCCCCAUUCUUCCUGAGCUCUGAUCUUAUAUAUCUGUUAGACACCAAGGGUUCCAGAACAGGAUCUGUCACCCAGUUCCUAGAUCUGUCUGAUCAGGGAAUCACACCAGACCCUGGUGUGAUGUUCUAUGGACAGUUUUUUGAUCACUGUUGUUGAGAGUCACUUUGUUGCCCACACUGCUCUAUCUGCAGAGUUUGUGUUAGCACAAAAUGAAAGAACAGGGUGCAAACUUCAUGAAUCAGCACAGCCUUUCUUCACUGGUGGAGUCACGCCUUUGAUGGACCCACUUUCCUGGUGGAAAAUGAGCCACUGGCCAAAGAGGGGGUCUGUGCUUAUAAAGGUUACAAUGAGAGGUGACUUAAUUAUUGACAGAGCGUGUCUAAUGGUGGGUGUGGGGUCAGUGUUCAGUAUUUCUCUCUUUCCCUCCAGGGUCCCAUUGUACUGAUUUAUUUUGGGAAGGGUCAAGGCUCUGGCUUCCUCCCAGAGACUGCCAGUCUAGCUUUGAUGGAUGGCUUCUCCCCAGGGAUUGUCUUGCCCCUGGGAAAGAAUGUAUUGGGAAAGGAUCAAUGUUAUCAAUGUGUUGCCUUCUUCCUCGCUCCCUCUUUCCAGGCCACACUAUUUGGGGGUUUGUCAUUUUCUAUAUCUUACAGUUUGGUAUAAUAGAAGCCAUCUACUUCUUUUUUCUUAAGUAAGAAAAUUGUUGAGAGGGGAGGGGAAGGGGGGAUAGGAAGGGCAGCAGAAUAAAAUAGACAUUAUGAUUGCUGUAUGUAUAUACGUGACUAUAUGACCAAUGUGAUUCUGCAACCUGUACAAUCAGAAAAAUGAGAAAUUAUACCCCAUUUGAUUCAAAUAUAUGAU
rnacentral:lncRNA from 1 species